AGAAAAUCGCUACAUUAGAAAGGAAGAUUUAUUAAUAUUUUCUCUUCAACAUCAUUUUAGCAUGACUAAACAAUUGUCUUGGAAAAUUUGUUAAUACUUCGAACACUGAUUAAACAUGAGUCGCAAUCAACUUCAGGGCGAAUUGGGUGGCCAAUUUGGUGGACAACUAACUGGUCUCUCGACAUUAUACACUGUAGAAGCCCUGGAGAUGCUGUUGUUGCCCAUGGCAAAAGAUGGUACUGAGGCUCUUAGCUCAAUGGGAAAUGACGCUCCUUUGGCUGUGAUGUCCAACAGAGAGAAACGUACAUUUGAGUAUUUCAAGCAGAUGUUUGCUUAGGCUACA